UUUACGACUUCCCGGUCUUCGGGGCCGGGCGCAGCAAGGGCCAGACUCUGCGCUAGCAGGCGCUGCGCGCCAACCGGCCGGCACCUGUCGCAGAAGGUGCAACCGAUCGCACUGUCGCGCAGAAGCUCCUCAAUGGCCAGCGCCAGCUGCAGCCCCGGCCGCCCACUCGCCUCAUCUGAGCCUGGCUGGCAGCCUGCUAUCAAUUACAUUGAUAGUAAAUUUGAGGACUACCUAAAUGCAGAAUCGCAAGUGAACAGAUGUCAGAUGCCUGGUAACAGGGUGCAGUGUUGUUUAUACUUCAUUGCUCCUUCAGGACAUGGAGACAGAUCUCAUUAUGUUGCCCAGGGUGAUCCUUGAUCUCCUGGCCUCAAGUGAUCCUCCAACCUUGGUCUCCCAAAGUGCUGGGAUUACAGAUGUGAACUACCACACCCAGUCAACGUGCAGAAGGUUUUCAGUUUGAUGUAGUCUGAUGUAGUCUCAUGUAUUUAUCCUUGUUGUUGUUGCCUGAGCUUUUGGUGUGAUAUCCAAAAAUAUCAUUGCCAAGAUCAAUAUCAAGAAACUUUCCCCCUAUGUUUCUUACAGAAAUUUUAUGGUUUCAGAUUUUUCAUCUAUUUUGAGUAUAUUUUUGUGUAUGAUGUAAGAUAAGGGUCCAGUCUCCCCAGUGUUGGAUAUCCAAUUUUCAUAACACCAUUUAUUGAAGAGAUUAUUCUUUCUCCACUGUGUUUUCUUGAUGUCCUUGUCAAAAAUUAGUUGACUUUUAUAUGCUUGGGUUUAUUUCUGGGCUCUAUUCUGUUUCAUUGCUUUACAUCUCUGUUUUCAUGCCAGUGCCACAGUGUUUUGAUUACUAUAGCUUUG
rnacentral:lncRNA from 1 species